AUGUCUUUACUGUCUACAGAUUUUCUCCGGGUUGUUGGUAAAUCUCACGAGCAUCAUGUCUUGGCUCUCCUGGUUGCAAUAUUUCAGCAUUCCUCGAUAUGCCAUGACAGCUUUGCAAAUUAAUGAAUUUACUGAUCUGAAAUUUUGCAAUGAUAGCACUAAUACAAGUCCGACGGAUAUGAACUGCACACAACUUAGCCAACCGUUUUGUACUGGAGAAGAAUAUUUGAAAAACCAAGGAAUUGAGGCAACUUCCUGGGGGCUGUGGCAGAAUCAUGUGGCUCUUGCAUGUAUGACAAUAAUUUUCCUUACAAUUUCUUAUCUGAAACUACGCUUCAUGAAAAAGUUAUCUUAAAACAAAGGUAUAAAUGAAUUGGUCAUUCACACUGGGUAGUUUUAUAAGUAAGUAAGUUAGAAAACUGACUUGAUUUUUUUGUUAAUAUUCUUUUGUAUGUUUUAUCUCUUGCCUCAAAAUUUAACAAAGUUAAAAAUCUUCACUGAAAUGCACUGUCCUGAAGUUUAACGUAUGUUUGAAUUUACUUUAUUGUCGUGAAACAUACAAAAGGGUAUUCAUCUCUUCAUUAGACCAGUUGAAAGGCAUUUUUAAAGUAUAUGCUAUUUGUUAAAAUACAGAACAAGUAUGAAAUAGUAAUACUUAAUGACUCCAUCCACAAAGAAAAGGUUCCAUGGUUGCAAAUCAUUGAAGAUAUUCUUAAUUUUGCACAUCCAGAGUGAUCCUCUGAUAGUGGUGCUGAACUAUUUUUAGAGUGAGGGAUCUGAGCUGUGCCACUCCCCAUCACCUGUUGCCACCCCUCAUUGUUCCAGGCUAGAGUCACACCCAGGGUUGCCAGCUCUCCCAGACCUGAUGGACUGGAUGCCAUUGCCACAAAUGGCAUCCAAUUCAUCCAGUCUGGGAUAGCUGGCAACCAAGCCACAGCUAGAGGCAGUUGCAGAGCCUUGGGCUGGCAGUGGGUCCUGAGUGGCAACAGAGCCUGCAGGACUGGCAGCCUGGGCCCUUGGGAUGGCAGGAGGCAUAACCCAUGGGAGUACUGAAGCUAGUGGGGCCACAGAGCCCUGGAGGGGCUGCCCAGAGGCUGGGACAUCUGGGUGAAUGGGAAAGCUGGGUUCAAAACCUGGAGAUGCUGCAGCACCACUGGCGUGUGUACGGGGUAUGCCAUGUGUGCCCAGGCAUACCCUAUUGUCUUAGGGUUGCCUGGUGUCCGGUUUUCUACUGGACAUUCCGUUUUUUUGGGGCUCUGUCUGGUAAAAAAAAAUCCAGAAAAUACCGGACAUGUGCAAUGUCCUGUAUUUUCUGAUUUUUGGACUGGGCACACGAAAACCUGGCAGGGAGAGUAGCUGGGAGGCAGGACGUGAUCAGCGCUGGGAGCCCUGGUUGCAUGUGAGGAAGAGGGGCAACCCAGUCCGUGCUCCUGCACACUGGUCAAGUGUGUGGUGGAGCUGCAGCUGGACUGAAUCGCGCUUCGCCUGGACCAUGCGGGGAAUGGGAGCGCCCUGGGAUCUGC